rnacentral:rRNA from 1 species
UACGUAGGGGGGCAAGCGUUGUCCGGAUUUAUUGGGCGUAAAGAGCGUGUAGGCGGCUUGACAGGUCUGCUGUGAAAACUCGAGGCUCAACCUCGAGAUGUCGGCGGAAACCGUCUGGCUAGAGUCCGGAAGAGGAGAAUGGAAUUCCCGGUGUAGCGGUGAAAUGCGCAGAUAUCGGGAAGAACACCCGUGGCGAAGGCGGUUCUCUGGGACGGUACUGACGCUGAGACGCGAAAGCGUGGGGAGCAAACAGG